rnacentral:lncRNA from 1 species
CAAUAACAUCAUCAUCAUCACGAAAUCAUAGAAACUGUAUAACAUAAUACUUAUCAUGCCUUUUGCAUCUCAAUCAUUACACAACAUAUUUUUCCUUAUUUACCAGCCUACUAGUAUCCAUGAGGAUCCAUAGGGGUCCCACUACCCGUGAACCCUUAACACUUGUAAUCAGAUUCCAGGGCCGUCCCCAUACCUCGUCCGGUAUGGGCGCCAAAACACAUAAGAUCUCUAUACCCCGUCCAGUAUGAG